rnacentral:rRNA from 1 species
AUCCAUGGCUCAGAUUGAACGCUGGCGGCAGGCCUAACACAUGCAAGUCGAGCGGAUGACAGGAGCUUGCUCCUGAAUUCAGCGGCGGACGGGUGAGUAAUGCCUAGGAAUCUGCCUGGUAGUGGGGGACAACGUUUCGAAAGGAACGCUAAUACCGCAUACGUCCUACGGGAGAAAGCAGGGGACCUUCGGGCCUUGCGCUAUCAGAUGAGCCUAGGUCGGAUUAGCUAGUUGGUGAGGUAAUGGCUCACCAAGGCGACGAUCCGUAACUGGUCUGAGAGGAUGAUCAGUCACACUGGAACUGAGACACGGUCCAGACUCCUACGGGAGGCAGCAGUGGGGAAUAUUGGACAAUGGGCGAAAGCCUGAUCCAGCCAUGCCGCGUGUGUGAAGAAGGUCUUCGGAUUGUAAAGCACUUUAAGUUGGGAGGAAGGGCAGUAACUUAAUACGUURGUGUUUUGACGUUACCGACAGAAUAAGCACCGGCUAA